ACUCCUACGGGAGGCAGCAGUGGGGAAUAUUGCACAAUGGGCGCAAGCCUGAUGCAGCCAUGCCGCGUGUGUGAAGAAGGCCCUUCGGGUUGUAAAGCACUUUCAGUCGUGAGGAAGGUAGUGUAGUUAAUAGCUGCAUUAUUUGACGUUAGCGACAGAAGAAGCACCGGCUAACUCCGUGCCAGCAGCCGCGGUAAUACGGAGGGUGCGAGCGUUAAUCGGAAUUACUGGGCGUAAAGCGCAUGCAGGUGGUUUGUUAAGUCAGAUGUGAAAGCCCGGGGCUCAACCUCGGAAUUGCAUUUGAAACUGGCAGACUAGAGUACUGUAGAGGGGGGUAGAAUUUCAGGUGUAGCGGUGAAAUGCGUAGAGAUCUGAAGGAAUACCGGUGGCGAAGGCGGCCCCCUGGACAGAUACUGACACUCAGAUGCGAAAGCGUGGGGAGCAAACAGGAUUAGAUACCCUGGUAGGAUAGCG
rnacentral:rRNA from 1 species